UACGAAGGGGGCUAGCGUUGUUCGGAAUUACUGGGCGUAAAGGGCGCGUAGGCGGCCUGUUAAGUCGAACGUGAAAUCCCCGGGCUCAACCCGGGAACUGCGUCCGAUACUGGGGGGCUUGAAUCCGGGAGAGGGAUGUGGAAUUCCGGGUGUAGCGGUGGAAUGCGUAGAGAUCCGGAAGAACACCGGUGGCGAAGGCGGCCUGCUGGGCAGUAGCUGACACUGAGGCGCGACAGCGUGGGGAGCAAACAGG
rnacentral:rRNA from 1 species